CCGUUCAGGUCCGAGGUGGAGAGGCUGUAAUGAAAAGAAAGUGAAACUAAAAGCAAGCAGCAGAUGGCAAGAUCCAGGCAGCACAGAGGCCACCCAAGCCAGCCUCUUUGCAGCUCCCGCCUCUCCCCAGCCCACCUGAGGGCUCUAGAAUGGGAGGUGCCAAGCAACUUGGGUGAGAAACCCUGAACACGCUUCCCCUCUGGAGCACCUUCUCAUGAUGCAGCGUCUUAGUACACGAGCAGAAGCCAUGCAUUCUUAGGAAUAAAUUCUACCUCCCUCCUGCUUCUGGGACUGCGCAGGAGGAGCUUCCGAGACUCCUGGGUGCUUCUGACUCAGAGCCUUCCUGCUGGGGACACAGGAGCCAGCUGAGAUCCUCCAGCCUCCCUCUCUCCUGGGAACCCUGGGGCGUCUGUAAUGACCUGAAGGCCUCUUUGGGCUUAAGGAUAGGGAGAAAGAGAACAGAAAGAAAGAUAUGCGUGGGAAAUGGCUGCAUGAAAAGCCUUUUAGGAUUUGGGGAAGAGAAUUCUUAGAAGGCUAUAGGAUGAGACCAAUGCAAAGCAGGACACUAAAGCACAAUGAUUGGGUGAUUACACACCGACAGCACAAUGUCCUAUUGUGGACAGUCGUCAAGGUUCUCGUCAUUUUCACAGUGAAAACGUGAGUGCUUACACAAGGACCUCCAGAGCAGACGUCUUCAAUAUCACAUCUACUCCAGCCCAACCACUUCCUUCCUGAUUCCUUACAACCCUUGUAGUUUGUGUAUGCAUUAAUCAAAUAAAUGAGGAAAAGGAAAUGAGGUUUGGAUAUAACAGUA
rnacentral:lncRNA from 1 species